GAUUUCAACUGAAAAAGUCAUCAAUAACAAAGUUGUAUAACUCAUCAAUAUCUAUAACUUUUAUUUGGUUCAUUUCUUCAUCCGAUAAAGUGAUUUAUAACAUUGUUCAUAAAAUGUACAUAUUUCUUAUAUAGUUUAUAAACUAUAAGAGAGAUAUGUAAAUUUUGUGAACAAUGUUAAUAUUACUUUGUUGGAUGAGAAAAUAACGAAAAUAAAAGUUAUAGAUAUUGGUGACUUAUACAACUUUAUUGUUGAUGACUUUUUCAGUUAAAAUC
rnacentral:pre_miRNA from 1 species